rnacentral:sRNA from 12 species
UGCCAUAAGGGAUAGUAUUACCCUUAUGGCUACACAGGUAGCAGUAGCA